rnacentral:rRNA from 11 species
GCCAAUUGUAUAAAUAUCCUGAAGUUAUCAGAUCAUGUAUGAACUUGGAAGCUAAGCAGGAUCAGACCUGAUUAGCAUAAUUGGGGGACUGCCAAGGAAAACCAGGAUGGGUUUGAUA